UCAGCCGCGAGAUUUCGAUUGAGGAAUCUAUUGAAUCGGCCCGGGUGCCGUGAACCUCGGUACUUUCGUGAUACGCGUACUGAGCAGGAACUGUUAAGCGCACGCGUAACCGAAAAUUCGAUGAUUACGCAACGCAGGACCCGCGCAGAGCUCGCGGCCGCGGCGUUUCCAUAUCCUGCGCAACUCGAUAGAUCCGCGAAUCAAUCAAAGAGCGCCACGUGUAGAAUUCACCCCCUCCUAGCAGUCCUUAUCACGGAAACGAAGCUCCUCGUGGCAAUUAAUCGCUUUCUUCCGUGCGGACUCCGAAAAGGAUAAGUUGUGUUUACGGACUCUCUCGAUUUCAACUCUUAUCAAAUCCUGCUCGUUCUCGUUUCGUCGCAUUCUGCGCCAUUAAUCGGCCGUCUCGCGAAUUCGUUAUUGAGCGCCUCAACCCCGGGAAGAGUCGCGUUAUUGUUACGCGUCCUCAUCCUCGUUUAUCGCGAGCGAUCGUUCUAGCCGCCAUCGGAGCUCGGAGCGCUGGCUAGGUAAGUGAACUUUUUAAAGAUUAUCAUGCGAGAAUCGUUCGUGCUGUGUUCUUCCACCGUUUUCGCGUGUGCGUGGAAUAAUCGUUGAGCAGUGCGGCGCCGCUCUCGAAUCAUUAUUACGCUUACGCCUUCUCCGGGCGUCUCACGAGUUUACGCGUUAGCGCGUGCACCUCGCAACGCAGGAUUUCCACCGAUCGUGGGCAAGAUUUCCGUGAGGGCACAGAGUGACUGCGUCAGCAAGAUUUCCGGUGCGCUCUUCGCAGAAUAUUCGUACACGGCAAGAUUUCCGAUCGAUUACGUCGAGCCCGGUGCGUGUAAUUUUCUCUCGAGGAAAUCUCUCGAACAUUGAAGAAAGAACGAAUCGCUUCAUCACUCUUUAGUUCAGGAGCCAGUAAUACAGACAAUAAUGCAAAGUACUUUUAUAUGAGCCAGAAUUCCUAUCUACUUUAUCCAUUGAAUAUUAUCAGAAGGAGAUAUCAGAAUAAUUGUUCUUCACUGAUGGAGCCAUCAAAUUAUAUUUGGAUAACAAGAGAGAUGAUGAGAAAUUUCUAUCAUACUUUCUAUAUAACUAGGAUAUCUUAAUAUACAUUGCGAUUGGAAUUUCAACAUCUUUUUGAAUUUCCUAUUUUAUUGUCAUUUUAAAAAAUAUUGAGACGAUAUAUAUUGAAAAUGAAUACAAAAAUAUUACAAAUACAAUAGAGAUUAGAUCGAACACUGUAGUGAAGAAACGUUUAAAAAGAAGGCCAAAAAAGAAUAAAUUUGCCGUUUGAAUGAUUGUAACAAUGCAUGGCACGGUUAUUCUUAUAAUAAUCAUGACGGCGUAAUCAUUUGAUGGCAUCAUGAAUGUGACAGAAUGCUCCAAGAUAAAUUGGAAAAGAGUAUUAUGUUCCCAUAUCUACGGCAAUUCAAUGGACAUUAUCACAUUUGCAUAUGUAAAAAAUUUUCGGACAGUGCCCAUCAACCUCACUACAUCAUUCUCACCAAGAAUAAUAUAAUAUAUCAAUUAUUGAUACGUCCACCAAGGAUGAUUGAUAACGUAGGAAUUGGAAGAUUCUUCUCUAGAUUCAAAGGUACUUAUUACGUACCGAAUGCGAGCUUAAGAAAAUAUUAUCCAAACGAUACCGCUGUAAUAGGCAAAAUACUUGCCAAACAGAAACAUUUAUCAUCUUAAAAUGUACAAAUUUGUUGUAUAUAUGAGAAUUAUUAUAAGAGAAUUUUUUUAAUGAA